AGAAGUCCUUACCGCUUGUCACUCACCUCUGCAUUUCUUUCUGUUCUGGGACUCUACCUUCAUUCAGGAGCUAUGUGAUGGUGAACGUAGCUGAAGCUGGCUCAGAUGGUUCAAGGAGCGGAUUUACAGGAUAAAAAACAUUUCUGCCACUUUUUGCAUCUUGGGGUAGGGUUUGAGUUUGAUGGCACGGGGGCAUCUUCACAACUUUUUGCACUUUUUUUCCAUAAGUCCCCAGUUCCACCACCAUUUUAGGACAUCUGGGGUUGUCAGGUAAUUCUCUCUGACACAUUCCCAUUGUUCCUGCUUUAAAACUGUCAGGUCAACUCAGAAAAUUAUCAAGCCACAUGUCGGAGAGUAUUAAAGGCAGUGGCUUCACUAAAAGCCAAAAGAGAAGCUCCAAUGUACCCAGACGUCUGGCCUAACUCGAGUUUUCAUUCUGUAGCUCAAGGCCAGAACUACUUUGACCUUCUCCAAAACAAUGCAUCUUCCAAGCAAAGACACAAGCCUAAAUAUUAUAAAUUUAUCCCAAACAACUCCCAUUCCUCUUGAAAAGCAUCACUGUCUAUUAAUAAAGAGAAAUUAAUAAUUAUAACAAUAACAUUUGAUAUUUUAUUUUCAGUAUAUUAUUAAGCAUUUUAGAAUAUUAUUUUAUUCCAUCCUUAUGUAUUAAUUCAAAUAUAUUUAUAUGGUCUUGACCAGUCCCUCCCUCGUGGAGCUCUCAUUCCAUCCUAUAACAAUGGAAAUCUUCAAGGCAGAUGUGCCCAAGCCACAUCCCCUCCACCUUCCUCUGACCUCAGCUGUUGCCAGGAUGGACACCUCCCCAUCUCCAGUGCCCUUGAAUUUCAGGACGGAGGAAGGGGCUUCAUCCCCAAAGUAGGUGCAGCCUGGAGGAGCAAGGAGUUUGCAUCAAAGGAUGGGGAUGGGCAGUGGGAGAGAAUGUCAAGCCUUUCACCCUUCAGAUGGACAAUUCCCAGGCACGUUCCUCGCAAUUUCUCCAAGGCCCCCCGACAGGACAGGCUCACUUGGCUGGCAGGGCUUCAUAGCCCCUGCUCUGUGGGCCUCUCCUCCUUGUCUGUUUCACUCUCACCACCGCUUCCCUCCUGCUCCCUGGAUCACCUCCCGAAUAAACUGCCUGCACUCACAUCCUUCUCAGGCUUUUCUCUAGAGGGACUCAACCUCCCAUUUUACAGAUGCAGACUUUGUGGCAAAAUGCCUUGAAAUCGUAAGCAGCAGAUCCAGGACUCACACCAGGUGUGUGUGACCCCAGAGUCCAAGGACCCAGCACUGAUGUGAUGCUGUCUCCUGCUGUCAAAUGUUUUAGGGCUGUCCCAGUGGCACUCAGAUUUAUACUGAUUACCUGAAGUGGUACUUUUCAAGACAGCCCCACUCCAUCGCCGGGUAGGUCUAACGAUUAGAAAGUUCUGAUUGGCAUUCAGCUCAUAUCUACAUCCAUGAAGCUUCAUGUAUUUUUCCUUCAUCAGCAAACACCUAUUCAUUGUUGUCUAGAAGCUGGACACUGUGCUAGGCAUGGGGGCACAGCUCUAAUGAGGAAGAUAUGGUCCCUUUGUUGACAGAGCUGCCCGUCUGGGACUGUUGAGCACCGUGCAGGGUGGGAGCUGCAGGCUGCUGUGGGGACAUGGAGUAGGGCACCUCUCUCAGCCACACUGUCCUUCUCAGUAACCUAGAAUAGGAUUCUCCAUGUCCGCAUGAGUCCUGCAGGCAGUGGCUGCAGAUAUCAUGUCCCCGUUCUCUGUUCUUCACGUCCAUCAGCCAACCUUUGAAUGGACCUUGAUAGCAUAAUGGAACCCAUAUCUCCUGGUGUGAUCAAAUGAGAAACCAAUGCAGAGUGCAUUCCCUUACCCAGAGAAGAGAUCCAGACCUCGGCAGGGAGUCUGGGAAACCAUGGAUGAAUCCUUGAACCUGUCCUCAAGGUUAGUCUUUGGAAGACCCCACGGGGCUUUUCCCCAAUGCUGAGUAAUUCAAGCCCUGAUCCCUAACCCUCCCACCAAAAAUAUUGGCAGCACAGGCCUAAGACGCCUGAAUAGGUCCUAGGGAGUGAAAACAAUAUUACGUUCCUUUUUCCCUUGUGUUGCAACUGAUACAGAAGGUAGUAAUUUACAUGACCAAUUAGUGGGUAGUAGGCUUUGGAGUCUGCCUUAUUUAAAAAAAUAGGCUUGUGAAACUGCUAGACUUGUCUGCUUUCUUAAAUUUCAGAUGGUCCCACAGCAAAGCAACAUAUUGUUUGGCAAUUAGGUUGCUGCGGCAGGCUAGAAUGGCUCAAAAGCAGCCACAAAAGCACAGAAAUGUGAACUAUUUUUAAAUGGCUUUCCCAGCAACAUGAAUGUAUGCUCAAAGUUUGACUUCCUUCCCUCUGAUCUAUUAAGUUCUCAUGUGGAUUUUUCUUUUUGAAAUAUUUUUGGAAAUGGGAUUCUAGACAUGUGUCCCUGGAAGUCUUGGAAAGGCAAACCUCAGAUUCCCGGGAAAUGACACUGUGACCUUCAACUGCCCUUGCUGUAUCCAUGGUCAACCCCCUCCCCUGCCUGCCCCCACCUUGCCUGAUGACACCAACUCAACAGGCAUUCUCUCUUCCGCUAUGACUGGCAAGGCAGCAGCCAACUCCAAUCUCGGAAAGUCCCAUUCACCCAUCCGUUUAUCCAUCAUCCAUCCCUCUCUCCCUUCAUUUCGUAAUUUAUUCAAUGAAUACUAACCUUCCAAUACACACCAGAAACUGUGUUAGGGGCCACACUAAGCCCUUGAGACACUGCAAGAAAUAAGAAAGUCCCAGAUGUCCUCUCACAAGCCCUUUCAUCUAGCAGGGAAUGGAUGUUAUGCAAAUAUUUUACAAAUAAUUGGCUACAAUUGUAAUAGGUGCCCCUAAGGUGAGUAUAAGGCACUAUGUGCACCUAUAACAAAAGGGACCGAAACUAGCCUGAGUUUCCUGAGGUGACACUCAAGCUGAGAGAUGGAGAAAUAGAUGGUGUCAGCAAACUAAAGAGGGAACAGAGAGGGAGGGCAAGAGAUUUAGGAAUGAAGGGUCUGCGUAAGGGUCCUGGGAAGAAGGAGUAUUCACUUUGAGGGGCCGCAUAAAGGCCACUGUGGCCAAAGGGUGAGCGCUCAGGAGACAGGGGAUGGGGCAGGAUGGGCCAGAGAGGGAAGCUGUGGCUCCAUCAUGCAGGAUUUAGGAGAAAAAGGGGAAACCAGGGGAGGGUGAUGUGUGUGAUGCUGGAGUCACUUGUGUUCAGGAAGGCCACGCUGCUGCCUGCUAUUUGGAGAGUGGGCUCCAGACGAGAGGGUGGAGUGAUGGGUGGAAGGUGGAGGUAAGAAGCAGGGAGGGAUGUUAGGAGGCCAGUGCAUUGUCCUGGAGAGGUGACUGUGACUGUGACUGGAAUGGGGAUAGUGGCAGUGAAGAGAAUCAGAAUGGUUCAAAAUAUACUUUGGAAGGGACCCAUGAGGACUCCUCGGUGCUCUGUGGCAUGCCAGGAGAGCCCCUUGGACAUGCUGCACAGCUUCAGAGCUGAGCCAGGCCCUCAGCAGCCUCCUGCUUCUGAUCCGUGGCUGCGCGAGGGUCUGCAGGGUCAGAGGGAAAGGAUGGCUUCACUUCCGCCCACCUCUCCUGCUUCUGUUUCUGGAGGGAUUGUGUUGUGCUGCUGUUCUCCAACUGCUUCUCGUCGAGUGAGUAACUAAGGAGAGGUGUAUUAGAAACUUUUUGUACCCUCCUUUUUUCUCUGAAUGGCUGUAGCACUUACCAGCCUCUUGGCCAUACCGUCAACAUUCAAUUUGUACUUGGGGAUUGAGCCAUCACUCCAUAUAAUCUCAGGAAAGGUGAGAAUCAGGUGCAUUCUCACCUCUACCUGUUGCUAUCCCAUAUCAGCUGUCAGGUCAGCCAAGAGGCUCUAUAAACUAGGAAAGGGGAAGAUGGUUUGUUGGUUAUUGCAGCACUAUUCACAAUAGCAAAGACUUGGAACCAACCCAAAUAUCCAUCAAUGAUAGACUGGUUUAAGAAAAUGUGGCACAUAUACACCAUGGAAUACUAUGCAGCCAUAAAAAAGUUCAUGUCCUUUGUAGGGACAUGGAUGAAGCUGGAAACCAUCAUUCUCAGCAAACUAUCGCAAGGACAAAAAACAAAACACCACAUGUUCUCACUCAUAAGUGGUAAUUGAACAAUGAGAACACUUGGACACAGGAAGGGGAACAUCACACACUGGGGCCUGUUGUGGGGUGGGCGGAAGGGGAGGGAUGGCGUUAGGAGAUAUACCCAAUGUAAAUGACGAGUUAAUGGGUGCAGCACACCAACAUGGCACAUGUAUACAUAUGUAACAAACCUGCACGUUGUGCACAUGUACCCUAGAACUUAAAGUAUAAUUAAAAAAAAAAAAGGGGGAAGAUGGGAAAAGUAAGUUCCCUCAACCCUAAUACAGGAAGUUGGAAAAGCCACACUGUCAGUACAGUCCUCAAAUACAAGAAUUAUCAAACAGUAGCAUCAAAAGGCACAAUGGGGGCUGAGUGCAGUGGUUCUCACCUGUAAUCCCAGCACUUUAGGAGGCUCAGGCAGGAGGAUCACUUGAGCGCAGGAGUUUGAUACCAGCCUGGGCAACAUAGUGAGACCUUGUCUCUACAAAACGUAAAAAAUUUGCUCAGUAUGGUGGCACACACCUGUAGUUCCAGCUAUCUGUAGGCUCAGGCAGGAGGAUCAAUUAAGCCCAGGAGUUCGAGGCCACAGUAAGCUAUGAUCACACUACUGCACUCCAGCCUCACAGAGUAAGAACUUUUCUCAAACAAACAAGCAACAAAAAAAGAAAGAAAAAGGCACAAUGGUGUGGCUUUCUGGCAUGUAAUACCCUCUUUUAUCUUCCUGCCUAGCUGUAUGUAUGCCACCACCCAUCUGUUGUGUGCUCAUGGCAGACAUUACAAAUCAAUCAAGAUGCUUUGCCUCAAAUUGAACUUUCAGGAACACUCUCAAUACUAUGCUUUGGGCUCUUCAGUUGACUAAGGUUGGUAUGGAAUGUGAAACUUAUUUGCCAUCCCUAUUCUUGACUGUUUAAUCAAGAUAAUCAACUUGGGAAGAUUCCUUUUUUUUUUUUUUUUUUUUUGAGACGGAGUCUCAUGCUGUCACCCAACCUGGAGUACAGUGGCAUGAUCUCGGCUCACUGCAACCUCUGCCUCCUGGGUUCAAGCGAUUCUCCUGCCUCAGCCUCCUGAGUAGCUGGGAUUACAGGUGUGUGCCACCACACCCAGCUAAUUUUUGUAUUUUUAGUAGAUAUGGGGUUUCUCCACAUUGGUCAGGCUGGUCUUGAACUUCUGACCUCAGGUGAUCUGCCCGCCUUGGCCUCCCAAAGUGCUAGGAUUACAGCCAUGAGCCACCGCACCCAGCCACUUGGGAAGAUUCUUCAAGUGACCAUUUGGUCAAGCGCCCAAGCUUUUAUGUAGGCAAACCUCCUAGUUAUCCUAGGCAGGUGGUGGCCAAUUCUUUUAAAGAUUUCCAUGGCUCUCGAUACCCCCAUCAUACUCCAGCACCCAUCCUGCCCUGGCUUAUCCUGACAAAAGAUUUUUUCCCCCACAUUUACCUGAACUCUGUCUUCCUUGCUAUUCAGAGAAAAUGAAGAAGGAAAGAGAAAGAACUACAGAAUUACCAGGAUACAAGGAAUUUGCUGUUAAGAUCUUCUUAACCUUCCAGUUGCUUGGGAAUCAUUGCCGUAGGGUGUCUCUGUACUCAACAGAAGGGUGAAGACGUUUUAGCAACAGUAGCAAAGCAAAUGAUCUUGGACUUACAGUUUCUUGAUUUCCGAUGAUUAAGCUUCUGCACAUACCAACCCCAAGACAGGGUCAUUCUAUAACUUCUUAAUAAGGUUAAGGUAUUUCGACUACUUGGUCUUCAGUUUCCCUCAGUAAUAGAGACACCAAGAUCCUAUUGCUCUCCAGCAACCAGGCAGGAGAGAUUUGAGUCAGAGGAAAGCACGAGAGAGAAGUUAAGAACAGCAAUUUCUUAAGUCAUAAACGGAGUCAGGACUGUAAGUGUGAUUUUCUGUUACCUGCCCCAGACCUCAUGGAAUUAAACUUUCCUGCCCUGAUCCCUUGGAUUCGUUUCUCCAACCCCACUCACCUAGCCCGGCCUCCCCGAAACACAAAUUGGAAUGGCGUUGGCUCCCGGGCACACUAGGGGGCGCCAGCGGGCUUGUUUUCCAGGAUGGCCCUAAAAUUCUCUCCAGCGAGGAGAGGACCAUGACGGCCAGGCCACGCUUGCUCUGAAAAGCGCCGAGCGUGGAAGGGUGUCUUGGAAUGGGGUCUAAAAGGGAGAACGACAUCCUUAUGACUUGCUUUAGGCUGCUUUCUGGAUGUAUUUUCAGAGCUGGGGAUGAGGAGAGGUUGCGUAAAGGUGCCGGCCUGCUGCUGGCCGGGGCUGGCAGCCUUUCAGCCGCCGCGGGUGAGUCAACACCUGGGAAUUGCAUCCAAGGGCGGCCCUUUCAAGCUGCCUGGAACUUUCUGCCAUCACACUGAGGCCACUGUUUGACCCAGUCCCGGGCCAGGGAGGCAGGAGCCGAUCACGUCCCAGGGCAGUGCUUCUCCCUGGCACUGAGUCCGUGGAAAGAGGCUGGGAAGGUUCUUUCCACACUUGAGGGCUGGCGUUGGGAAAAUAGGGUAGUGCUCUCCGCCCCAGUGAACAGCAAGAGCUCACUUCCCCCAGCAGACUUCUGCUCCACUGGCCUACUUUCAGCAUGGAGUGGAAGGAAGCCAGCUCCAGGAGGGCAGAGGCUUCCUCUCCACCCCUCUCUUCCACAACCUUCAACAGGCGCCUUGUUCUCCCCGGCCAGGGAACUGCGGAUGGUGACCAUCGUUUCCCAGCCCAGCAAGGGGAAAUGAGGGGAGGAAAUAAACGCAGGGUUUUUAUUGCCAAAUAUUUCUUUCCCUGGGAGGACAACGCAUUCAAACCGCUGAGUGGAGAUUGGAGUUAGUCCAGCCAUAAACCAUCUUAAUGAACACUAAUAGAGAACCGCAAUUAUUGUUGACUUCAAAAUGCAAACAAGAACUUUAGACAGUGAUCCCUAUCAGCCGGUGAGGCCGGGCACAGAUGCCGGGCGCUGUUUUUGCCGUUGCUUAGCAAUGGAAAAUGAACUGUUCCUGUCUGUUACCACUGGAGGUGGAGGUAGGACAAUGAGCUUUAUUGGACAGAAUAGGUAUGAAAUUAGUUUAUUCUUUUUCACUUGGAGAAGGCAAUUGGCAGCCAAGAGAGUCACUCGGAAAAGGGGUAUUUUAGAGGUUGAGGGUGACUUUCCUUCUCAUUACUUCGGUAAAUCCUAACCACCUUGUUUUCCUCUACAGAUAAAGUUUGAACUUUUGCCGGGAGUGUCCCUCCAAAACGAUCAUCAAUCAGACAGAAUAGCUGCAAAUACCAACUCACAGACCAGGUUGGGAAUUAGGUGAUAGGGUCUUGCUAUGUUGCCUCGGCUGGAAUGCAGUGGCUGUUCAUAGACAUUAUCACAGCACACUACAGUCUCAAACUCCUGGACUCAAGCAAUCCUCCUGCCUCAGCCUCCUGAGUAGCUAGGACUACUGGGAUGCACUACUGCUCUUGGCAAAUUAAGGAUUUUGAGAUGGAGAGACUAUCCUGGAUUAUCUGAUGGGCUUAAUCAUUGACAAAGGUUCUUAUAUAAGGAAAAGUCAAUGUGAUAAUGGAAGCAGAUUUGAAGAUGCUGUGCAACUGGCUUUGAAGAUGGAGGACGGGGCCACAAGCCAAGGAUUGUUGGCAGCCUCUAAGCUGGAAGAGGUAAGAAGCAUAUUCUCCUGUGGCACCUCCGGGAGAAAUGCAGUACUGCCUAUACCUUGACUUUAGCCAAGUGAAACUAAUUUUAGACUUCUCACCUCCAGAACUGUAAGAUAAUAAAUUUGUGUUGAUUUAAGACACUAUGUUUGUGGUAAUUGGUUACAGCAAUAGGAAACUAAUAGACCAGGCAUUAUGUUAAGUGCUUUAUAUCAUUAAAGAAAUGUAUACAAAUCCA